GCCAGCAUAUAAGAGGAGGAGGAAGAGGAAGGUAACAAUACUAUUCAAAUAAUAAUUAUACAUCAAUUAUAUAUCUUUGGCAAACUAAAGGGAAAUCACACUCUUCUUCAAAAUCAUCUAACAUGGUAACAUCAGAUACCAUUGUCCACUCAAAAGAAUCAGAUUGCCACACUUGAAAUGGCCAUCUAGCAUGAGGUUCAUAUACUGAGUUGAUGAUGCUGGAGGUAUGUUAAUCGCAAUAUCAAGACCACUCGGCUCGGAAGAAUGAAUGAACAGUGACAAACUCCCAUUCAAGAACCUAAUGUAGCUUUUUCUUUCCUUUGUAGCAUUGUCAUAUGGAUAGACAAACCUACUCUAAUAGGGUUAAGGUGGGUUUGAUUCAACAUAAAUAAACAAACCUUUAUCCGUGACUUGGAGAGUAUAGAUACCUUCCGACGAAUUUGUUGAAGAAACACUAGAUUUUAGUUGAUGGCCUGUAAACAGCUUUUGGCCAGGUAACAAAGCAGCUGUUGGGUGAUCAAAAGAUUGCCAAACUACCGAGUUCUGGUGAUCGAACAACACCAAAUUUCCGGCAUCAUUCAUGUUCAUGCCCACAACAGAUUUUCUUGUAAUGUUAGUGGUCCAAACUACGCCUCCAUUUACAUCCUUUAGGACCAGUUCUCCAUCUGUUUUCAGAAAGCUUUGGAUCAAAAUGUAAGCACAUUAGCUACUGUGCUUGUGGAGAACAGUUCUGUGCUGGUAAAGAUGCAAGUGUUGUACGUGAAGCGAAUCUUGCAUAUGAUGAUUUAAAGCUGCUUUCUUCCACAUUUAAAGUUGCUUGGGUGUGUUGUGAUUAUUGUCAUAAAUGGAGAAGCAUAUCAGCUGUACUUGCAGAUUCCAUCGAGUCAACAUAACGCUGAUGGAAGAUCGGUCGUUGUUUGUUCAGUUUUGUGCGAAUGAUCCGGAGACGUUGCUAGAAGCAGCGCGUAGAGUGGAGGCGUGUUGUGUUUACGUUGACAUUAAUUUGGGACUUUCGGUGGCUGCAACCCUCCCUCACGGCGUCUCCACCGCUUUCACCUAUCAGUAAUUCAAAUUUACUAUUUUAUUUAUUCAAUUUAUUUCAUUACUGUUUUUAAUUCAGUUAUUAAUCUUCAGACGAUACGUAUAGAUUCCAGGUCUCCGAGAUACGACACCGUUCGUUCGAUGAGCAGAUUCCAGUGGAAUAAUGAUGCGAGAUAACUGCCUUGGCUCCGAUCGCAUCAGAUCCAUCGUAGGAAGACCGCCACCGUCUCCAAUUCCGAUCGAUCAGUCGCCGGAAGUUGAACAAAUCUGAGUCCUCGACCAUCUUCGUUACCAAAUAUUUUCUUCUAAUUUGUCGAUUAAUUGUUGUUGUUUAGCUUUGUGAGAUGCAUGUUUUUAUUGGUUGAUUGAUGAGUAAAUCGCAUUAACUUGAUGUUAUUUCAGAUUUUGUUCUAAACAAGUAAUGGAAGCACGAAAUUAUAUGCUCUAGAUGCAUCAGAUCCAUCGUAGGAAGACUGCCACCGUCUCCCAUUCCGAUCGAUCAGUCGCCGAAAGUUGAACAAAUCUGAGUCCUCGGUCAUCUUCUUACCAAGGUUUUUCUUCUAAUUUGUCGAUAAAUUGUUGUUGUUUAGCUUUGUGAGAUGCAUGUGUUUAUUGGUUGAUUGAUGAGUAAAUCGCAUUAAGUUGAUGUUAUUUCAGAUUUUGUUCUAAACAAGUAAUGGAAGCACGAAAUUAUAUGCUCUAGAUGCAUCAGAUCCAUCGUAGGAAGACCGCUACCGUCUCCCAUUCCGAUCGAUCAUUCACCAUUUGCUCAAAACUAAGAAAGUCAAAGAAGGGCCAGAUUGUUGUGUGAUUACUCUCCAUUCCUCUUCAAAGCGGAGGAAGAGAAACAAACUGAGAACGAAGAAGAACCGCCGCGUAGAUACUCCAACAGAAUUGAUCGGCCCGUUGAUGCGUAUAAACUCGAUGAGAUGAAAGCAGAGAUGAAGAAUGGUGUGCUGAAAAUUAUGGUUCCUAAGGUGAAGGCAGAGGAAAGGAAGAAUGAGUGGCAGGUUGAAGUAAACUGAAAUUAUUAUGAGAUCGGUGUGGUUCGUUUAGUUAGGGGUUUGAGUUUUCUUUGAGUAUGUUGUUUGUGGUUCAAGUUGUUGACAUCUAGCAAUAAAAAAAUAAAAGGUUGUGUCAACUUUUGGAUGUA